GAUGAACGCUGGCGGCGUGCCUAAUACAUGCAAGUCGAGCGAACGGACGAGAAGCUUGCUUCUCUGAUGUUAGCGGCGGACGGGUGAGUAACACGUGGAUAACCUACCUAUAAGACUGGGAUAACUUCGGGAAACCGGAGCUAAUACCGGAUAAUAUUUUGAACCGCAUGGUUCAAAAGUGAAAGACGGUCUUGCUGUCACUUAUAGAUGGAUCCGCGCUGCAUUAGCUAGUUGGUAAGGUAACGGCUUACCAAGGCAACGAUGCAUAGCCGACCUGAGAGGGUGAUCGGCCACACUGUAACUGAGACACGGUCCAGACUCCUACGGGUGGCAGCAGUAGGGAAUCUUCCGCAAUGUGCGAAAGCCUGACGGAGCAACGCCGCGUGAGUGAUGAAGGUCUUCGGAUCGUAAAACUCUGUUAUUAGGGAAGAACAUAUGUGUAAGUAACUGUGCACAUCUUGACGGUACCUAAUCAGAAAGCCCCGGCUAACUACGUG
rnacentral:rRNA from 1 species